rnacentral:rRNA from 1 species
AUGCCGCCUCCUUUGCUUCGAGCUGCCUCCUGCGCCUCGAUCUCCUUCAAGACUGGUCGGGUCCAUCUUCCUGCACCCCUUCCCCGUCUCCGGCGCCGCGCUAGACCUCCCUCACGCCUCGCUAGCUACUGCUAUGCCGCCGUGUUCCUGCUUCAAGCAGGCAGAGGGUCGAUCCACCACCAGCACUCGCCUCUGCCAUGGACCUCCCCAGCGAGGCCCAUCUGCGUCAUCCGCCCCGGCCUCCUGCACUCGUGUCGGACCACGACGCACCGCUGUCAUCAUGCACCUCCAAUUGUCGUUUCUUUUGAUGCCAAGUCCAACGACCACUGA